GCUUGCACAUAUGUAUAGGUAGACAGAACCGAACAACUAGGAAUCGGAAAAUGAAGAUUAAAAGAAGAGAAUAUCUAAUAGAAAAUAACCAACAAUCUUCAUGUUUCCAAACUCAUGCUCGUGCGUUACACUCAAGUAAUGUCCAUAAGAAUCAAAAUAUACCUGGAAAAAGGGAAGAAACAAAGAAGAAAUGAGUUUCAGCUAGUCUAGCAACAACAAUGCAGCAAAUAAGCCUCAGAUUCAAAAAUCCAAGUAUUGAAAUCAGCCCAGAAACCAGUAGAAUAUUAUCUUGUUCAGCAAACUUCACACCCAACUUGAAACCAAAUCCAAUCCACUUCAAACACUCAAAUGGACCAAAAUUGGUCGAACAGAUUGGAAAUUUGAAAAUCAAAGCAAGGGAAAUCGAUGAAACAGUAAACCAGGAUUCAUUUUAGGAGUUGGAAAUCAAAGAAAUCACAAAGGAAUCUUUAUGAAACAGUAGUUACUGUAGCCGCCUUGUAUUUUUCAGAAUUUC
rnacentral:lncRNA from 1 species